rnacentral:lncRNA from 1 species
CCUAACGUCUUGAGAAUUUACAUCUACCUGUUUUUUCUGUUAUAGGAAUGUAUGUCACUGUCUACUGCCACAUUUCCAUUGGGAAGAUGCAGAAAUCUGAAGGGGCUGUGGUGGAAGAGGAAGAGAAACAAAGCAGAUGACAGCUGUCUGUGGGUAACAGCAAAAGCGCUUCAGACUGACCCUCAGAAGGACAAUGUACUGACCAGAAGUAAAGCCACAAUACUGUUUUUCUAUUCCACAGGAGACCACAACACAGGUCGAAGUCAAUAAUCCAGAGCUAAGAAACGGAGGAAGAGAUUCAGUUGCAAUGCAAAGCAUUAUAGCAGGAUCUUAGAUGCAACUAUAGAGAAACACUCAUUUAUCCAAUGAAUACUUUCCAGCAC